rnacentral:misc_RNA from 1 species
CAUGUAACUUAUAACUAAAUUAAUUUGAUAAACCAUCAACUUAAUUAAAAACGAAUAUUAAUUUAAUCAACCGUGAUUUUCUCAAGUUACUGGUUCAACUAAAGAAAUCUUUAGUCAAUCAGGUGUCUAAGGUGCGUUCCACUUAACGCUCGCAACUGCGAAAUUAUUUCAUCCUUGUAUUAAAUAUUAAACAAGGACAAAUGACGCCCGCAAGCGUUAAUUGGAACGUAUCCCUAGAAGAAAAAAAAACAUUUCACAGGGUACGAAAGAAGAGCGAGAUUUGCACCCGCCGUGUGCGAACUGUUUCGCGCGUCAUCCGAAGUCGUGACUACUCAUGACUCAAAACUGGGGCGUAUGUUAUCGAUUUACUCUUACGUCAUUUCUAUCUUGCGUAGAUGUGCGAAGGUCCUGGAAAUGAACGCGCGACAGGUUGUAAGUGGCAUGAUGGGACAGUUCAAUACAAUUCCGUCGACUCCUCGCGUCAUGUUCGACGAGGUGAGUGACAACGGCUUGGUGCUCUGCGACAAGUACCUGCCGGUCGAGGUGCUGAUCGAGAUCUUCUGCCGCGCCGACUGUAACACCCUGGUCAACUGUCAGCUGGUGUGCAAACGCUGGAAGAUGAUGAUGAACUACGUCUGGCAUAAGAAGGCCGAGCAGGCGCUGGGCAAGCCGCUCCCGUGGGACGAGAAGAUGCCCUGGUCCGUGCUUUACCUCGCGUGCACCAAGAGGCCAUACGAGAGGAACCUGCUGAAGAAUCACUCUGGUGCUGAGCAGAUGAAUCACUGGAACAUAAAGUACAACGGCGGCCAUCGCUGGAUGGUCGAGGAACCGCCCGCCGGCACGCCGGAGCUACCACAUACCGAGCCGAUGUUCAAGGAACAACAGACCUGUUUUGUGACGUCCUUCGAGCAUUGCUCCAAACUACAAAAAAUAAACCUGACGAAUGAGGGGAUACAUCCAUAUAUCCUGGAUACUUACCAACCACCUAUAGUGAUAAGCGAAUGGUACAGCUGUCGAUGGGACUGUCCAGCAGACUAUCGAUUAACAGUUGAAUUAAUUGCUGAAGAUGAAUUAUUAGACGAGUUUAAAUUUGUAGAUAUUCUCGAGGGAGAUAAACAGAAUCGAUGGCUAAAGGUUUCGCAUGUGUUUGAAAACUAUGGAACUGGGCUCAGAGUUAUCAGUUUCGAGCAUGGAGGAAAAGAUAGAUCAUUUUGGGCAGGACAUUAUGGUAGUAAAAUGGCUGGGGCAUGUGUUAUUGUGAAAAUUCCUGACAAUAUGCUUUCCUGAGAAUUGCUGAAAAUUUAUAUUUAUUUUUGUGCAAAUGCAACCAAGUGUUACUAAAACUACCAGAAUCGAAAGGACAGAGAAGUUAGAUUAAAAAAGUUUUGAGGGGCAGAGUCUUGAUGGCACACAUACAGUUCCUUUGGAUGAGGGUUCGUGUAGAGACGUCCGAUUACCCAAAAAGAAACUCUGUUUUUUUUUUUAAUAUUUCCAUAAAAUAAAGUUAUUUAUA